UACGGAGGGGGCUAGCGUUGUUCGGAAUUACUGGGCGUAAAGCGCACGUAGGCGGCUUUGUAAGUCAGAGGUGAAAGCCCGGAGCUCAACUCCGGAAUUGCCUUUGAGACUGCAUCGCUUGAAUCCAGGAGAGGUGAGUGGAAUUCCGAGUAUAGAGGUGAAAUUCGUAGAUAUUCGGAAGAACACCAGUGGCGAAGGCGGCUCACUGGACUGGUAUUGACGCUGAGGUGCGAAAGCGUGGGGAGCAAACAGG
rnacentral:rRNA from 1 species